AAUAUUGGUCAAUGGGCGGGAGCCUGAACCAGCCAUGCCGCGUGCGGGAUGAAGGCCCUACGGGUCUUAACCCGCUUUUACACGGGAACAACCGAAGCUACGUGUAGCACCCUGCGGGUACCGUCGGAAUAAGGCUCGGCUAACCCCGUGCCAGCAGCCGCGGUAAUACGGAGGACCCGGGCGUUUUCGGGAAUUAUGGGGUUGAAAGGGUGCGUAGGCGGCACUUUAAGUCAGGGGUUAAAUACAGCGGCUCAACCGUUGCAGUGCCCUUGAUACUGAAGUGCUUGAAUGUGGCCGAAGGAGGCGGAACGGGACAAGUAGCGGUGAAAUGCAUAGAUAUGUCCCAGAACCCCGAUUGCGAAGGCAGCUUCCUAGACCGUUAUUGACGCUGAUGCACGAAAGCGUGGGGAUCGAACA
rnacentral:rRNA from 1 species